UAGCAACACGAUAAAUACACGAGCAGAUGAUAUUUAACGAUCAAUUGGCCAGAACAAACGUCGUUUACCUUUUUACCUACUGGGGAAGGUUUGAUAAGAUAAGGUAUUUUCAAGGAUGUCUAUCCCGUGGGAGUUUAUCACCGACAUAAAAGAAAGAGAACGAAAGGAAACUACUUUUUAAUGGAAAUGAGCUUGCAAUAUAUUCUGGAGUGUCUUUGUCACAGUAGACGUUCGUAAAACAACACCGAAGUGUUGAUAGUGAACUGAAGGUGCGCUGAACUGAUGAAGUGUUAUUUAGGGUAGUCGUUUUUCUGGCAGGCAAAAUGUGGAAGUAUUUCGGUAUACUGUUACUAACCACUUCGAUGGGAGCUAAAAUUGCCGAAAAAGAAAAAAAUUACAAAGACGCUUACGCAGAGCUUUCGCUAAAAAUAAUAGAAGACGAAUUGAACUCAUCAUUUUCACUUAUUUCGAGGGCGAUGAUCGACGGUCCGAUCUUGUGUCCUGAAGGAUCGGUAUUGGAUCACAAAGGAGUCUGCCGUCGUCAAUUGGGCUGAAGUGCGCUUUUGGAUGCCUUCCAUCCAUCACCCGUUAUACCACGGAAAUUUGACUGGGAUGCGAUGUUUGGAGUUGAAAGAGAAGCAAGUUUUUUUAAAGUGCGAACAUUGUGAAAUUUUUGAUAAAAUGAUUUCUGUCAUCCGGAUCCGUGACCCCUAAUAAAACCCUUAUGAAUUA